CGUCGAGUUCCAGGCCGCGCGCUCCAGCGGUCCAGCCAUAUCGCCCUCAGCGUCUCAGCCACAUCACGUCGAGGCGUCCAGUGGCUCCAGCGUCUCAGCGUAUGAUAAGCCAUGGGAUAUUUGUUCUCAUAAUGAAGGAAACAACUCAGACGGGGUUGAUUGGUUGGAAGAUAAAUCGGGUGGUGAUGUCGGCAAGAACAAAUCAGAUUACACUGAAGGCGGAGGUAGUGGUAGUAGACCUUGGUGCCAGUGCGUCUGCUCCUGCUAGGGCUGCGCCCAGUCUUCCACAAUUGAUCCAUAUUCGUCUGAGAUCAAUUAGAAAAAGGAAGCCAAUACAUAAGAGUGUCUAUGAUCUAUGAAAGAGUAUGUCAAGGGUGUCAGCUUCAGUGGAGAGAGAGCUUGUUCAUGAACAACCCACUGACGACGAUGCGUCUGCGCUGGCGUAUUUGGUUCGACGUCGUUGUCCAAACACGUAUCUCUUUUUUUAUGGACAUGCACUGGAGGACCGUGUUGUUCGGAUGACUUUUAUAGCUAAGCCGACCUAUUCCAGUAGGAGAAAAUACCUCAAUGACUUGCUAGAUGCUGAUCUUGUGAGCCUGAGUCGAGGUGACAGGAAAAGAUGGCAUAACAUGUGGGCUGCUGCUGAGGCAGCUGCUCAAGCUGCGAGGCUGCUGCUCAGGCUGAGCCUGCUGACCAUGCGGGCCAUGAAGACUAAACCUGAUGGCGCUGCCGGUUCUGUCUGUAGUUUAGAGCUGCAGUCGCUUAUCUACUUUCUACUAAUUCUAGAUCUUGUGAACUUAGGACAUUGUGCUUGUCAUGCCGAAUGUUUGGUGUUCUAAACUUUAGACACUGUGUUGCUGUUUUAAUUACUCAUGUAUCAAUGUUGUGAACUUAAGACAUUGUGCUAGUCACUUUAGACGUUAUGUUGCUACUUUCGAUCACUUUCUUGAUUUUUGCCACGGUGGCGGUGCCAGCGCUGAGGUCUAGGAGCCUGAGCUGGGCGGCGCUGAGGUCUAGGACUUCCUCAAGAGAUGCUGUAACCCUUCAGUUAAUAGGUAACUCAGUUACUCUAUAUUGUCUCAGUUAAUGGGGAACUCAGUUAAUCUUAUAUUUUAUAUCAGUUAAUGGAUAACUCAGUUAAUAUGCUGUAACCUUUCUGUUAAUGGAUAACUCAGUUAAUCCUCUAUAUUGUCUCAGUUAAUGGAUAACUCAGUUAAUUCCUUGUAAUGGAUCAGUUAACGGAGCGCUCAGUUAAUUUAUAAUAUAUCCUCGGUUAAUUGCUCACUCGGUUAAUACACUGUAACCCUUCAGUUAAUUCUGCACUCCCAUGUGGCUUUCGAUUACGGAAUAUUCUUAUAAAAAAUUAUAAAUAGUGCAUGUUCAAGACAGGAAUAUUUGAUUUUUUUAAUAUGGAAUAUUUCUAUAGCAAAGUGUAAAUAUUCCAUGUUCUAGUCAGGAAUAUUUGAUCUUUUACGGAAUAUUCUUAUAAAGGAGUGUAAAUAUUCCAUCUUUCAGACAGGAAUGUUUAAAGUUAUAAUAUGGAAUGUUCUUAUAACAAAUUGUAAAUAUUCCAUGUUUCAUUUCAGAAAUAUUUGACAUUUUAUUACGGAAUAUUCUUAUAACCCAUACACCCUAAAAACACUAAACCUAAAAAAACCCCUAAACCAAUACCCUGAACCCAAAACCCUUCCGAUACGCUAAGCUACGUGAGGGGCUCAACUCAUGUAGUUGGCUAUUCGGACGUGAAGGCUACAAACACCAAACGACGUGGUGCUUGUAUGAUAGACUCAAACACCAACCGAAAUGGUUUUUGACUUAUAGGUAGCAAAACCCCCGUCACCUGUGUUUAGAACCCACCUAAAGCUGUUCAUCGCGGUCUAGAGGCCAUUUUGGAGAAGGGUUUACCUGGAUCCGCUCUUAACGUAGUUGUCACACCGCGUACAUGGCAGUAGGAGGAAUUAAAUAUAGCACAUCGUGCAUCUAGGAAUAGCAGAUGGGCCGUCGGUCGUGGGCUGCCACGACAUAUAACUAGCACGUCCAGGUUUACGUAAUAGCACAUCCAGGUUUACGUAAUAGCACAUUGAACCAAAAUGUUAUUCAACUGUGAACAAGCUACAAAAAUAUUUGAUGGAAUAGCUAGAGAAUGAAACCAAAUGAGAGUUAUAUUUCCCAGAAUGAAAGAGAGGAAAGCACAAUUUUACUCUGGAUGUGCUAUUACGUAAACCUGGACGUGCUAGUUAUAUGUCGUGGUAGCCCACGACCGACGGCAUCAAAGGUGCAUUGCUACUCUAUUGGGGACGGUACAACAAGCUUACGCGACAGUUGUCAAGUGGCGCAGGCCCGAUAAAGCUCUCACUUGAAGAGAUAAAAAAAGAACUUGAAUCGGGUAAAUACGAAUGUAUGUUGCAAUAUUUGGAUCAGCUCACACAUAUAUUUGUAACGUGUGAUGAGCAUAAGUCACCAUCAGUAGCUGCGUAUUGUGCCAAUAUUAGAUGUGGGAACUUAAGUAGUGCAAGUACUGGGAAGCGCAACAUUGACGAGACCUCUUCCAGCCAUGUUCGGCAGAAGAGCUCGAAAGUUCAUGUGGCUCAGUCAUUACAAAAUGGCAUGACCCACGAGGAUGCAAUGCAAUUUCUUAAAGACCAUGACAUCUUAGGUGGUACUUUAAAAUUUUGUAUAGCCAAUAAGUUACUUAAAGACUAUCAAAAUCUGAGUACGUUCUCCCGUCUGGAAUCCCUUGAGGAAAGGAUCAGUUUCCUGGAAGGAACCUGGAAAUUAGAAUCUGAUGGGUCAGUUUCCUGGCAGUAACCUGGAAAUUAGAAUCUGAUCCCUCUUCCUUAAAGGUAAGCCAGUUUGUUUAGGUCUUCUGUAGUCAUGUCAGUUAUUUAUCUUGUUCUUGUGUUUUUUUGCUAGUCUAGUCUGACCUUGAUAUCUAAGGGGCCAGCUAAAAGCAAAUACAUGUCAUGGAGACUGCAUUCAGCCUUGGUUUCUUUCUGUCUACCUUUUGAAAGUAAUGAUGACUGUAUAUUGCUUUCUGAACAACCUGUUAUUGCUUUCUGAAAGGUUUACCCUAGAGCGAUGUGGUUUCUCAAACAAGCUACUUGGCAUUUAUUUUCUUUGUGGCAAUGUUCUAUGGAUGUAACUAUGAACUACGUACUAGUAUGCUGCCCGAUGCAGUGAUGUUCUCUUCUGGAGAGGGAUGCGGAUGCCAUUCAGCAAGCAAUGCCAAGGAAGAUUAGUGCAUGGAAAGUGUAUGGAAUUGUUCAUGCUUCAUUGUUGUUGUUUUGGCCUUGCUGUUUGGCCUGGUGUUGAGUUUGGCUGGCCCCGUUUGAAAUGGCCUUAGAACCAGUGAUGUUUAGCUGAUGAUACCUAGAUAUUCUGCUUUUGGUAUGUUGAAAUAUUGUGACUUGUGAUUUCUAAACUCCAGCUGAAUACUGCUAUUCCAAGUCAUACAAUGCACGUGUGAACGUAGUGCAUUUCACUU